AUCAAAUCAAAAAGAGGAAAAACAUAAGGGAAUUUGAGGUGGAGAUUUCUGCAACCUACGUACAACAACCAAAGACGAAGAAAACAAAUUGAAUAGAUAGAGAUAGAGAAGAAAGGGAGAGAGAGUGAUGAGGUGAGGGAAUAUGCAGAAGAGAAAAGGAUUUCAUUGGAGAUUUUGUCGGAGUCAAGGGACCAACGAUCACCGCGUGCCUUCCACUCGUUGCUAGAGUGAAACUUUAGUUUCAUAUUGUUGAGACUAAUGAUCACCACGCCCCUCCCACUCGUGGCUAGAGUUGAGCUUUAGUUUCAUAUUGUUGAGAGCACAGGUGAUGUUGGCGAGGAUUUAAAUAAUUAGAGUUAACGAGUUGAAAAUCCAUGAGAGCACAGGUGACAUUGGCGAGGAUUUCAUUAAUUAGUGUUAGCGAGUUGAAAAUCCAUGGUGAGCCCCGCACUUGUUCUGCAGGCAUCAAGCUUAUUUAGUUGUUAUGGCUUUUUCUUUUAAAACUCUUAGAGUCGCUCCGUUUGUCAUUUUCUCUAUUAUAAUCAUGAGUAUUCUUUUGUAUUGUAGUCAUUUGACUAGUUUCAAACUUUCUUUCGUAUUUGGAGAUGAAUUGAUAUUAUUGUAUGGCGAUUAUAUUUUUAAUGGAUAUGAUUCAUUGAU